GGGAAUGUGGCUUAGUGGUAGAGUGUUUGCCUCACAUGCAUGAAGACCUGGGUUCAAUUCCUCAGAACCA
rnacentral:tRNA from 1 species